UAUAUAUAUAUAUAUAUAUAUAUGAGUCCAGCUAUGGUGCUUGUAAAAGCACCAAGUACUUGGUGCUUGUAAGUUUUUUACCGUUAGAUCUACUCCUCGGAUCAUUUUUAAUCAUUAGAUUAUACUAUUCAACCAACCACCGACUAAACUCUAAAGGGUCCACAUCAUCCUAAUCGCAUAUCUUUUAAUUCAAUAGAUAAAA
rnacentral:lncRNA from 1 species